UGGGGAAUAUUGCUCAAUGGCCGCAAGGCUGAAGCAGCAACGCCGCGUGAGGGAUGAAGGUUCUAUGAAUCGUAAACCUCUGUAGAGAAGGAGAAAUAUCCCGAUUGUCGGGAUUGAUAGUACUUCUAAAGUAAGCCCCGGCUAACUACGUGCCAGCAGCCGCGGUAAUACGUAGGGGGCAAGCGUUGUCCGGAAUCACUGGGUGUAAAGGGAGCUCAGGCGGGUCUAUAAGUCAGAGGUGAAAUCCUGCAGCUUAACUGCAGAACUGCCUUUGAUACUGUAGGUCUAGAAUUUAGGAGAGGGUGAUGGAAUUCAUGGUGUAGCGGUGAAAUGCGUAGAUAUCAUGAAGAACACCAGUUGCGAAGGCGGUCACCUGGCCUAAUAUUGACGCUCAAGCUCGAAAGCGUGGGGAGCAAACAGG
rnacentral:rRNA from 1 species